ensembl:lncRNA
GGACACCUGAGCCAAAGGAGCCAUGAUAUCCACAAUCCAGGAGGUGCCCACCCAACCGGCAGCUAAGCAUGUCCAAAUGGAAGUAUCAGGUGGUCCAUGACCUCUGGUUGAUGGGUUUGGUGGGUUUGAUGGGUUGAUGGGCUGAUGGUUGGACUAGAUGAUCUUAGUGGUCUUUUCCAGUCUUAACGAUUCUAUGAUUCCUUUGCAUCCUGGAACCCAGCGCCUGGAUGAAUAGCGUGCUGCUGGGCACCCCUCUGCCACUGCAGGAACGUGUUGUAGGAUGAAAUGGACAGCUAUGGGCUGAUGCCAAACUCAAGAUGGAAACAGAAGAGAUCGUCUUGCUGCUAAUGGUCUACUUCAGCACUGCUUCUCCGCAUUCCCAAGUUCAGCUCUCCUAAAGGUGUCUCUGAAAGACACAGAGAGAGAACAAACACUAGGAAGCCUCCAGGGAAUUUCUUAUCCCAAAUGGGGAUUUUGUUUGAAAGCACAUUGACUCUUAGCAUCCUCAGCAUCCUGUGGCCACUGCUAUUACAUGGAAAAGAUGCUUUCAGGCAGCCUGUUGCAACACCUGGGGCCAAGGCAAAGCCAAGAGGCAUUCUCUCUGCACCUAGCAAGGAAAGAAGAAUCAGGUAUUCAUGUAAAUCACAAAAGAGUUUGAUGGAUGCCAGUUCACAGUGAGCCCCAAACCAAGGAACAAGAGCCUAGUUAAAC